GCCUCAGUGGAAGUGAGGGAGCUGUCACUCCGAGAGGACAGAGAGAUCUCUGGUGAUGAUCUGGUUCCCACUGCCUUGUCGGAAGUGAGUGGCUCAUUGGUGUCCUCUGACACCUCCAUGAUUGCCCUGUGGUAGAAGGGGAUGACGGCAUGCUUUGAUCAAGGACUCCUGAGCACCUCACGACUGUCCUGCUGCCUUAGAGGAGCUGACAGGCUGUGCUGCUGAGGUGGAGAGCAACCCAGUGUGUGCCUGAGGUCCCCCCAUGCCUGCUGUGAUCAGAAGCUCAGGAGGGGUGGGCAGCACCGUCAGGCUCUGCUGCGCCUCGGUGGUAAAUCCAUUGCUUCUGCAAUGGCAUUGCCCCUUGUACUCUAUGUCUGCGGAUUUCACCAUGCAAAACUCCUAGCAGUUCAGUUUCAAAGCACAGGCCCACGACAAAAGACUGUACUUAAAAGGUACAAUCCCGGCCGCAGCCGCGCCUAGAAAGUUCUAAGAAGCUGAAGUGAGGCAAACCCCUCCAGCCCAGGCAGCGCGGCCGCUCCGACGCGUGUGGGCGGAGCGAGGAGUGUCGGCGGGAGUUUUAAAAAUGCCUGCGUCCGCCAUUUCCGGACAAACCCCGAGCGGAUCAGCCUGGUAGCAGAGCGUCACGACGCAGGACUGUUCUUAGACAGUCCAAGUUGUGGCCACAACCGCGCCUAGAAAGUUCUAAGAAGCUGAAGGAAAGCGAGGCAACCCCCUCCGGCCCAGGCAGCGCGGCCACUCUCACGCGUGUGGGUGGAGCGAGGAGUGUCGGCGGCACCCCCUCUCCGUGCGAAUAAAGGCAGAGCCCAGAGGGCGCGGUGAAGGGGACGGGCGGCGCGGCGCGGCAGUUGGUGGGGGGAGCAGAGAGCUCAGGUUACGGCGCCUUGCUGUGUAGAGGAGGCUUAGCCCUUAACGGGUCACUUAACAGGACGUUGCUCUCCAGACACACCCGCGUACGACCACGGUCUCCACAGGGCCACGAGCAGCUGCUAAAGCACGUAUGUCCAUGGUAUGUCCUCUGUAAACAAAGGAGGAUGGGGAUGAGACAAACAUAGGAGCAGCUUGGCAGAGAUGGUUUCUCUGGCACUGGGCUCCUGUCUGUGGCUGAUUCACGUUUGGGCAGCCGCUGUGCUUGUGAUGGUGGGGUCCUGGUAGGGGCCUGCUCAAACAGAAGCGUCCUCUGCUCCACUCUAGUGAUCCAUACCAUGUAUUUGUAGACACGGACCCCCUUUGGCUGCCGGGCAGCAUCAGCAGUCUGAUUCUGGCCUUGCUCCCUUGUGGCCCCUUCCCCAGAUAGAUGCUUCUCUCCCACUGCCUCAUCUCCUCCUGUGCCUGGAGCUGAAGUCCAGGUGCCUUCACUGCCAUGUGCCCUGUGCCGUGCGGCUUUGCUGCACUUGGGGCAGAGCCUCCUGGGCCUGACUCCGUUCUGCCUGGGUCCCCUACCGUUCUGCAUUGCUGUCUGUGCUCCGCACAGUGUGGUAAUGGGAUGCUGUGCUGCUGGCUCUGAACUUGAGUGCCCCACAUUGUCCUGGGACUGCUCCAACCAGGAAGCCAGCAGCUGGUUCUGCUGGUUUUCAGUCAUUGUGCUGGUCCUGUAAGAGUCCAUAAGAGCUUUGAGUGUCUCAUCCAAGCUGGGCAUCUCUUCCGAGUUGGUCCCUGCAGGGUUUGGAGCUGGUGGCACAGCUACAGGAGUGUCCUUACUCCAAGAGCCUUCUGUUUGUGUACAUACAUUUCCAGAAGGCGUUGUCCUGCCUUGUGACAGCUCCUGGACCCCCAUGUUGCCCCCGCUGGGCACGGUGGUGGUCUCAUCCUCCUGUCCUGCCUUCUCCUGAGGAGCUCCCUCACUCUGUGACACUGUCUGCUCUUCCUGGAUGGAAAAGGAGGGACCGGGAUCACGCCCUUGUGUCACAGGGCCCUGCUCCUUUCUGCAGCUGCCAGGCUGGGUCUUCUUUCUGGCUGAGCUGCUGCUUGCAGCUGUUCCCCUGCGUGUCCUUUUCAGCUGGGGUGUCUCCAGAUCUUCACGAGGCACCUCUUCUGCCACAAUCACAAAAGCUGCUGACAGAGAGUGGGCAGGCGUCUGUGUUCCUCGUGUGCGUGUUUCCACAGGGGCUGUGGACUCUUGCUGCGGGCCAGGGGGCUGCACUGCCCUCUUCCUGGUGCGAGCGUGCCUGUCCCAGUGCUGGAAGGGUGAGCGGUAGGGCAGCACAGUGUGCCUGUGUGGAGGAGGAUGGUAGUCUUGUAGCUCCUGGGUGGUCUCUGAGAGCUUCUUGUAGGAGGCCAGAACCUUCUUGGGUAGCCCGAAGCACCGCUGUAUCUGCAUUUUUACCAUGUGCCGCUCCAGCUGCCUUUUCACGGCCUCAUCCAGCUUCAGCGGCUUCCGCACCCUGGACACCACCUCCACAUGGGGCUCUGAUGGUCGCUGACGCACCUGAGGAGCCGAGCUUUCCUGCACAGUCUCUUGUCCAUGUCUUGGCAGGCCCGCUUCCUCCUCUGGUUUCCCUUUGGGGAUGACACAGUCCGAGGUCUCCUGGACGUUUUGGGGCUCAAGUGCUUCGGAAAGCGUGAGGUCCGACUGAGGCAUGGCAGCAUGACCCAAAUCUGCUCCAUGCAGAGGAGUGCUGAGGCUCAGCUGUGAAAUGCAGCUGCCUUCAUCUGCUUUGAGAGAAGUGCCGGAGCUUUCCCUGGGCGGGGGCAGUGGGAACCAGAUCAUCACCAGAGAUCUCUCUGUCCUCUCGGAGUGACAGCUCCCUCACUUCCACUGAGGCAGCAGAAAAGUGCCGCUCUUCGAGGGCAUCUCUUGAUCUGAGGAGGAACAUGUCCCACACUUCCAACAUGGCAGUGGAAGCCAGCAGCGCCUCAGAGGUCUCCCUGUCCUCUAGGAGCUAUCAAUCCCUCACUCCCUCUGAGGCAGUGGGAGCUGGGUGCUCUUCAGGGGCCUCUCUGUCCUCCUGGAGCGACAACUCCCUUGCUGCCGUUGCAGCAACAGCACCUGACUGCUCUUGGACAGCCCCUCUGCCCCCGCGCGGGGGCAGCUGCAUUUCACAGCUGAGCCUCAGCACUCCUCUGCAUGGAGCAGAUUUGGGUCAUGCUGCCAUGCCUCAGUCGGAC
ensembl:lncRNA